UUGACUGGUGCUGACAGCAGGGGUUGGAAGUCCACAGGCGAUGCCUGGCAGCCCUUACCUGUACUGGUCAAAGUGCUGGGUGACACAUUGGCCCUCCGAGGCGCAGGGGAAAUGGAAGCUGCGGUUGCAGCCCGCCUCCGCGCAGGUGAUGGUGGCCCCGAAAUUGCCACAGACGAAGCAGAGCUGGAAAAGCAGAGAGGCCCCCAUCAGCAGCAGGCUCAG
rnacentral:lncRNA from 1 species